rnacentral:rRNA from 1 species
UACGUAGGGGGCGAGCGUUGUCCGGAAUCAUUGGGCGUAAAGCGCGCGCAGGCGGUCCUUUAAGUCUGAUGUGAAAUCUUGCGGCUUAACCGCAAGCGGUCAUUGGAAACUGGAGGACUUGAGUGCAGGAGAGGGAAGCGGAAUUCCAUGUGUAGCGGUGAAAUGCGUAGAGAUAUGGAGGAACACCAGUGGCGAAGGCGGCUUCCUGGCCUGUAACUGACGCUGAGGCGCGAAAGCGUGGGGAGCAAACAGG